UCUGAGGAUGCUGAGGGACUCAUUCCAGAUGUCAAUCUGAGGUCCAGACCAGUGACCCUUCAUUAGGACAAAUCGGACUCUCAGAGCCCGACUCUAUUUGAUGACCCCUAUACUGGUGUAAACUUGUUUUCUUUCUUUUGAACAAAGCAUUAGUUUCUUAUUUAUGAGGCAAUAUGCUCCUUUAGAUAUACUGAUAGACUAACCCAAGUCUUGCUUUGUUUUCCUCACUUUGUUGAACAGACUUGUAGACAGAUUAUUUUAUAUAGGAAAUAGAUACUUGAAUAAUGAAUGAGGAAAUACAAAAGAAAGAUUGAAUUAAGAAAGAGUCGAACAAUUGUGCUGGGUACUGAGAGUCUUACUAGUGUUGGGCUAAAAGAAGGGAACAUCAAAUGCCUACCUUAAAUGUUGACAAGAAAACCUGUUUUAGUUCUUUGAGUGUUGGGUAUUUUUGAGACGAUGUCUUUGUUUCUCGUUCUCUCUUGUUUAUCUGAGGUAGAAUGAGUGGAUGAAAGGUGGCUUCUACUUUUAGAGUGGGGUGAACAGCAGUACCAGGAUCUUCUGAAAGUCACAUGUCACCUGCUUUGUGCAAUGUCCUGAGGUGUCUUCAGUGGCCUACUGUGUAAGAGCUCAUGGUCUGUCCCACGAUUUGGUGGAGGUAGUAUGGAAAGUACUAACUCUACAAAGAAAACAUUUUCCUCCCUGGAAGGAUUCAGGAGUCCCAAGAAGUGUGGCCCAGAUUGUGCACCACGCCCACAGAUAACUGACAACGGAAUGCAACACUGUAUUCCAAGGUGGAGUUGGUAUGGCACCACGAACUGCAAAGGAAACAGGACAUUCCUCUCCUUAGCUGUCAGGAACCAUGUGGGUGAUGCAGAAAAAGUAUGAUCAUAGGAAGGCACCACGCCUAUGGAUAACUAAGAAAGUGGAGUUGGUGGUGGAAAACUCACCAUCUGUACAGAAAAUAAAGCCUCUGUCUAUCUGAAGUCCAGAAGUUGGUGAGAGAGUGAAGUUGUAUUUGGAGUGUAUAUAUCAUAUCAUCAUGGUGGUGCUGGUAGCAUGAGAAGGACAGCGCUUAGAACACCAGAGGUGCUGUUGGCAUACAAGGCAUGUGGAAAAGAAUAAUCUAUGCAUUGGAUGCCCCAAAGGGCGCAGCUGCUGUGGAGGGAAAGCUGCAGUGCACAGAGGGAGGAAAACCUUGUGAGAGACAGCAAGUGCGGCCGAGUGCGGAGGAGCAUGACUUGGGCGCACCUUGUAGAUGCUGACAUGUGGUGCAGUUGGUGUGAGAAAAAGGCUUCCCAUGCCCAGAAAGUGGGUCUUAUUGCUGUGGAAGGCUGAAGGUGCUGCUGUCUUCAAGAAGUGUCUCUGUGGGCUGAACUUGGUCUGGAGAUGCUGACAUAUGGUCCAGUUGGCAAGUAGAGUAGGCGCUUGUUUUACACACAAGGAGGAAGUCCGUGCUCAUCGAUACCACCAGAGGUUGUGGGCCCUCGAGGUGUGAAUGACAGUAGUGCCCUGAGGCCUUGGAAUGCCACAAAAGGUGAAGUGGGCAAGAAGAAUAGAUGCUUGUUCUUGUGCACAGAGAGAAAGACCUGACUCUCUGCUGAUCCCCAACAAUGCUGGAGAGUCCAGGAGGUGUAUGGACAGGAGUGUGCAGUACCUGCGGAUACUCACAAAGGGUGCAGUUGGGAGAAGGGAGGCUCCAGUGCCCAGAGAGAGGAGGUGCUUAGUGCUGUGCAAGUCCAGAGUGGCUCCUGACUCUUCAAGUGUUGCCACAGUGUCUAUGGGGGGAUGCAGAUUUUCCAUGGAUGCCCAUGUACCGUGCAUUUGAAGUGGGACAUGGAUGCUCGCCUUGCACACAAGGAGGAAGGACCUUGCUCCCCUCAGAUAACCAGAAUUGCAAGCAAGUCCUGCAGGCUUCUGGGUAGGAGAGCAAAGUGCCCCUGCCCUGAACACCCACAAAGGUGAAUUGCCUUGGGGGAAUGGCUCGCCAGGUGGGAGACCUUACUACUGUGGAAGACUGGAGGUGCGACAAGUGCAAGGAGUGUCUCUUGGCAUGAACCUUGUCCAUAAAUCUGGUGAAUUGGCUUGGAGGAAUGGCUCGCAAUGUGGGGAGGAUGGAAGACCUUACUACUAUGGAAGACUGGAGGUGUGGCAAGUGCAAGGAUUGUCUCUUGGCAUGAACCUUGUCCAUAAAUGUGGAGCAGUUGACAGGAGAAGGCACAGAAGGAGGAAGCCCUUGUUCCUCUCAGAUGACCAGAAGUCUCACACGUCCAGGCAGACAUGUGGACGGGAGUGCUCAGUACCCGUGGACACUCACA